GGACAUACACAGAUCAUUGGAUAUUCUAGUGCAGACUGGGUAGGUUCUUCUUUAGAUAGACAAUCCACUUCAACGUAUUGUGUCCUAAUAAGUGGAAACUAAAUAUCUUAGAAAAGCAAAAAGGAAGGUGUAGUGACCAAAUCAACUGCUGAAGCCUAAUACCGACCUAUGGCCCUAGCUACUUUUGAACUUAUUUGGAUAGAGCAGCUUCUUCAAGAGUUGAGCUGUGGUGACAUCAACCAAAUCAACUUAAUCUGUGACAAUCAAGCAACAAUGUAUAUUACCUCUAAC
rnacentral:misc_RNA from 1 species